CACUGUUGGUCUUGGACUAGAAUUGCAAAGUGCACCAAGUAUAAUAUUGCAAUUUACUUUUACAAAAUAUUAGUUUGGUCCAAGAACAGACAAAUCUGCAACAAGAACAAGAACCAGAAAGCCUGUGAAAAAUUCCUUCACAAUAUUCCCUGUUGAAGACAUUUGGGCCCUUUUUUCCUGCUCCUUCCUUAAUAGCUUUGAUCCCCUUUGUCUUUUCCCACAUCUACUAUACUGUAACCUACAGCAUAGGCAUAGCAACUUUACUCUCUACUUGAAUAUCAGGAAGCUUCUCAAAGUAUCACAAAGAGUGUCCUCAUAAGCUGGAAAAACAGAAAAGCUAAAAGAUAAAAGAGGGCUCUUUGAUUAAUGCAAUGGAGAAGAAGAGGAAGAAGGAUGAGAAAGUUGCUUGCACCACUAGUCAGGAACUAGAGACAGACCACCAUUUCUUGAGCAAGGAUCACCAAAGCCAAGACAAUGCUGAACCUCUAACAAAGAGUACAAACACUGAUAGUCCUUCGAAUGGCAACGUACCUUCCCUAUGUCACCAAUACCCAGUAACUUUUCCAUGGCCGUACACGCCUCAACAUGGUGGGGAGCAAUGUCCUUUGGUGUCUAGACCCUUUUUUGCAACUCAAUCACCAUUGCCUGGCAUUAUAAGCCAAUGGCCGCAGUUUCCACAUCAGGUCCAGCAUGGCCAGCCACCGCGGAACUAUUCCCAGUCAGCUGCUCCCUUUUGGCUACCACAGCAGCCUGGUUAUCCAUUUUCUGCCUCCAAUGCACCGUCAACUUUCCAGCCAUUUGUUGCUGUUGGAGCAACUGAUAUUAGUGGUGAAACAUCUACAACAAACCAAAAUCAGGUUCCCAAUUUCUAUUACCAUGUUGGGUACCCAUAUCCAGGCUUUCCAGGUUCAUGUGAUUCCUUAUCUUGGUGGAAUCAAGCGCAAGCACCCCACCCUCUGUGCACAUAUGCUUUUCCAGGAGGCUGCAUCUCUUCGCCACCUGCAUCACUGCCUCUGCCUAGUUUUUCUGCAACUCUUGGGCAAACCUUUGAAAAAGGAAUUAUCAGGGCACCAGCAACACUUUCUAAGAAGCACCAGCAGCUUUGGGAUGCUCAAUCUGCAGAAAAUGUUCAGCUAUGGAGUGCAAUCAACCACUUGCAAUCAGAAGUAACUGAUUACAAGAAUUGCUUAACACGGCUCGAAGCAGAACUGUCUUCUCUUAAAGCAGUGGCAGAAGAGACCACUGCUCAAGUUAGUGGGGCUGUUUUACCUGCAAAACCAUCAAAGAGAGGGAGACCAAAGAGAUCAGUUGCUUCAGCUGAUGCAGUGCAUUCUCCUGAUAAGUCUCAUCGCCGAGCUCGUGGCAGAAAAUCUGUAGUAUGCAAUGCUCAACAGUUUGAUAGUAAAUCACAUUUGUUUGAGAAAGUAAUCCUCAACAAGGUGGAAGACAAAGAAAAAGCAUGUCACUUAACAGCUGCUGUUGAGCAAGGAAACAAUGCCUCACAUGUUGUCACACAUUCUGGUGGCCAUAUGGAGAUAAAUGGAACCAGUUCGACAAUGCCUGCAUUCCACUAUCAAUUUCAGCAGGAACUUCCUGCUGUCCAAACAUAUGGAAAUGGGAGUUCUGCUUCUUCGGAAAUGAAAGUUUCUAAUGUCAAGGCUAACAACUGUAGGACUACCUACCCUGUCUAUCCUCAGAACAUCCCAUGGCCUUAUAACAAUACCUCUGAAAUUGAGAGAAACGAGCUAAAUAUUGGCCCCAAUGGUUUGUACAAUAGCGGUAUUGUUAUACAAGGGGGACAGAUCAUCCCUGGAUGGAGUUUUGGAAAUGAAGAGGACGCUUCAGAAAAGCCGGAAGAUGCCAUGUUAGGAUCAGGAAAGAAUGACAAUGAGGAGACCAUGGGAGAUGAAUCUAGUUCAGGAGCAGAAAAAGUUGCUCGAACAAACAAUGAUGGUGGCUUCAAAAUGGAUGAUAGAGAAGGAACUAGCAAAAAGUGUCUUGCUCCACCCAAUAACUAGUGACAGAGUUUAUUCCACUAGUCUGCAUUUAGAGUUUAUAUGAUAAGCUUUUGAUGCAUCCUGCAAGAUGUGGCUUGCCAUUCUCUGCACAGAAAUGUUGGCCCAAAUUUUGUAGCUAGGAAGAGCAGGAUGGUAUAAUCUUGGAAAAUGUGGUAAACAUACAAGGGGAUUUUGACUCUCUAAGAUGCGGCAAAGUAUAUAUAAAAGGAAAGGUGGAGAUUCGUGCCCUACGACAAAUGGUAUCGCGUCAUAUUCUUCCUAAAAAGGUCCAGGACUCUAGAAGGUUUUAGUGUUUAACGACUAUGAAGCAUGAGACGAAGUUUCAGUCGGGCACCGAAACCCUAAAAUAUGGCCGCAGAAGAAAAUAGGGUCGUUGAAUUAUUAGCACACCUUUGUGUCACUUUCAAGACUCGAAACCAAGCUAUGAAGACUGGGUUACGUUACAGACAGACUGAUACAAUUAUACAUGAU